rnacentral:lncRNA from 1 species
CUUGGCAUCAGUUCAUUUUGUAAAGUUCAAAUUGCCAAACAUACGUUGACAGGGCACGGAGUUGCUGUCAAGAUCUUUAAGAAUAUAUAAGAAACUGCUGCAACUUUAAGCUGUUGGUUCAAUGCUUUAGAAGGAGAGAAUUAUUCUUGAUGUCAUGUAGAUUUUACACCUUAAUGGAUGGAAGUUGAAUGCCCCAAAGGUAUCUCAGGUACAGCAAUCUGAGACAUGAGUGGACGAAGAGAGGAAUUUCAUUAAGGUUCAUUCACCAGAAUCAUACCAGAAUCAUUAACAUUCACUCACCAUUUGGUUGGUCCUUAGGGAUUGGCAAAACUCAGGUAAUAAUAGUGUUGGCUUCCAUGUCUGCAUAUGUUUAUUUUAUAUAUUAUUGACAACUGUUUUUCUCAAAAUUUGUUCUUAUCCUGUUUGCUGUAAGUUUCCCUAAUCCCUAGGUCCAUCAGUAGAAUGAUUGUAUUUUGAUUUUAUACAUUAGUUUUUGCUGGAGUUGCAUUCCACUUAAACACAGAUAAAAUAGAUGGUUUGGAAGGAUCAGUUUUUUGUUGUCCAAUCCUUCAUAAUAGAUUAUUGUGUAUCAAGCAAAUGAUGAGCUGGCAACAUAGGAAAAGUUUGAUGCCUUCAUCUUACUUUCUCAGAUCAGAUGAAGAACUAGAGAAACGAGAAAUUUAGGCCAUCUCAAACUAGAUUUCUUUGAUAGGUUACUUGUAAGGCUGCUUAUCUUUACGUUGUCGAAUUACUUAUGAAUGUUACUGUCAGUUCAAUGUCAAACCUGCUACAUGUUUCUACUGUAGGGAUUUGGAUGAUCAAUUUUUAGGCAGUUUUACCUAUCAAAAAAAACUUCUUAGGCAGUUUUACCGUUCAAAAUUGGUGGUUGUGUAUUUGAGCUCAUAAUGACUUGGCAGCAUUGGACAACUUUGAUGCAUUCUCCUUACUUCUUUGAAUCAGAUGAAGAACUAGAGAAGCAAGAAAUUCUGGUCAUCCCAAUUAAAUACACCCCUACCUUAUGGCGAUAAAACUAUAAUCCAUCUCCUUUGCAUCACAUUUUGUAGAAAGACCACCAUCCUAGUUCAGU